rnacentral:rRNA from 1 species
UACGUAGGUGGCAAGCGUUGUUCGGAAUAACUGGGCGUAAAGGAUGCGUAGGCGGUUAAACAAGUUAUAUGUUAAAUAUAUAGGCUUAACCUGUAGAAAGCAUAUAAAACUGUUUAACUAGAGUGCAAGAGAGGUAAGUGGAAUUCCUAGUGUAGCGGUGAAAUGCGUAGAGAUUAGGAAGAACACCAGUGGCGAAGGCGACUUACUGGACUGUAACUGACGCUGAGGCAUGAGAGCAUGGGGAGCAAACAGG